rnacentral:rRNA from 1 species
CCUACGGGUGGCAGCAGUGAGGAAUAUUGGUCAAUGGCCGAGAGGCUGAACCAGCCAAGUCGCGUGAGGGAAGAAUGUCCUAUGGAUUGUAAACCUCUUUUGUCAGGGAGCAAAGUCACCCACGUGUGGGUGUUGGAGAGUACCUUACGAAAAAGCAUCGGCUAACUCCGUGCCAGCAGCCGCGGUAAUCCGGAGGAUGCGAGCGUUAUCCGGAUUUAUUGGGUUUAAAGGGUGCGUAGGCGGGUUAUCAAGUCAGCGGUAAAAUCGUGGAGCUCAACUCCAUCCAGCCGUUGAAACUGAUGAUCUGGAGUGGGCGAGAAGGAUGCGGAAUGCGGGGUGUAGCGGUGAAAUGCAUAGAUAUCACGCAGAACCCCGAUUGCGAAGGCAGCAGGCCGGCUGCCGACUGACGCUGAAGCACGAAAGCGUGGGGAUCGAACAGGAUUAGAUACCCGAGUAGU